rnacentral:rRNA from 1 species
GAUCCAGAGAUUUCCGAAUGGGGAAACCCAGCAUGAGUUAUGUCAUGUUAUCGAUAUGUGAAUACAUAGCAUAUCAGAAGGCACACCCGGAGAACUGAAACAUCUUAGUACCCGGAGGAAGAGAAAGAAAAUUCGAUUCCCUUAGUAGCGGCGAGCGAAAUGGGAAGAGCCCAAACCAACAAGCUUGCUUGUUGGGGUUGUAGGACACUCUAUACGGAGUUACAAAGGACGACAUUAGACGAAUCAUCUGGAAAGAUGAAUCAAAGAAGGUAAUAAUCCUGUAGUCGAAAAUGUUGUCUCUCUUGAGUGGAUCCUGAGUACGACGGAGCACGUGAAAUUCCGUCGGAAUCUGGGAGGACCAUCUCCUAAGGCUAAAUACUCUCUAGUGACCGAUAGUGAACCAGUACCGUGAGGGAAAGGUGAAAAGCACCCCGGAAGGGGAGUGAAAUAGAACCUGAAACCGUGUGCUUACAAGUAGUCAGAGCCCGUUAAUGGGUGAUGGCGUGCCUUUUGUAGAAUGAACCGGCGAGUUACGAUUUGAUGCAAGGUUAAGCAGUAAAUGUGGAGCCGUAGCGAAAGCGAGUCUGAAUAGGGCGUUUAGUAUUUGGUCGUAGACCCGAAACCAGGUGAUCUACCCUUGGUCAGGUUGAAGUUCAGGUAACACUGAAUGGAGGACCGAACCGACUUACGUUGAAAAGUGAGCGGAUGAACUGAGGGUAGCGGAGAAAUUCCAAUCGAACCUGGAGAUAGCUGGUUCUCUCCGAAAUAGCUUUAGGGCUAGCCUCAAGUGAUGAUUAUUGGAGGUAGAGCACUGUUUGGACGAGGGGCCCCUCUCGGGUUACCGAAUUCAGACAAACUCCGAAUGCCAAUUAAUUUAACUUGGGAGUCAGAACAUGGGUGAUAAGGUCCGUGUUCGAAAGGGAAACAGCCCAGACCACCAGCUAAGGUCCCAAAAUAUAUGUUAAGUGGAAAAGGAUGUGGCGUUGCCCAGACAACUAGGAUGUUGGCUUAGAAGCAGCCAUCAUUUAAAGAGUGCGUAAUAGCUCACUAGUCGAGUGACACUGCGCCGAAAAUGUACCGGGGCUAAACAUAUUACCGAAGCUGUGGAUUGUCCUUUGGACAAUGGUAGGAGAGCGUUCUAAGGGCGUUGAAGCAUGAUCGUAAGGACAUGUGGAGCGCUUAGAAGUGAGAAUGCCGGUGUGAGUAGCGAAAGACGGGUGAGAAUCCCGUCCACCGAUUGACUAAGGUUUCCAGAGGAAGGCUCGUCCGCUCUGGGUUAGUCGGGUCCUAAGCUGAGGCCGACAGGCGUAGGCGAUGGAUAACAGGUUGAUAUUCCUGUACCACCUAUAAUCGUUUUAAUCGAUGGGGGGACG